AUUAAUUUUCUGCAUAUAUAAUUAACCAUGAACGACUACAUAUUUUACGUGGCAAUGGUAGUGGUUCAGUUAGCAUAUGGUGGUUCAAACAUUCUCAUCAAAAUUUCGCUUGACAAGGGACUCAAUAAACUUGUUUUUGUGGUCUAUAGGCAUUUAAUUGCCACGCUUUUGCUAGGACCCAUUGCUUAUGUGCUUGAAAGGAAUCAGCGGCCUUCACUGUCAUUUUCAGUAAUUUCAAAGAUUUUUGUGCUUUCAUUCGUUAGGACUACAGUCCAUCUGAACGUGUACUAUGCUGGUUUAGCAUAUACUUCUGCAACUGUCGCAAGUGCCCUGAGCAAUGUUUCCCCAAGUUUGACAUUUCUCAUUGCACUUCUGCUUCGGAUGGAGAAAGUGAAUAUUGCAAAUAUGAGAAGUCAAGCAAAGGUGUUGGGAACAGUAGUUUGCGUAGGUGGAUCUCUUGUUUUUACAUUCUGGAAAGGAGGACACCUUUUGAAAGGUUUUGUGGAAAAACCACUCAUAAACAUCCAAGCUGGAUCUGUAGGUGGUUUUAAGCAUACUAAACAAGACUGGAUCAAGGGCUCAGCUCUUAUUCUCAUUAUCCACAUUGCAUGGAGUGGAUGGUUAAUUCUCCAGGCUCUAGUCUCAAAAGUGUACCCGGCACCCUUAUCACUGACAACUAUGAUCUGCUUCUUCGCUUCACUGCAAUCUUCUCUACUUGCCCUGUUUUUUGGAAGAACACCCACUUCAUGGAAGUUGGAAUGGGAUGUGAAUCUUUUAACCGUCGUUUACAGUCUCUGUUAUACUAUCUGCAAACAUGGUGCAUUAGCUACAAAGGUCCAGUUUUUGCUGCAAUGUUUAGUCCACUAAUACUAAUUUUUGUGGCAAUAUCCUCGGCAAUUGCUUUUGCAGAGAGACUUCAUCUCGGAAGGUGGGCUGAAGAUGAUUACAUCAUAAUAACUUAAUUGGAGCGAUUCUCAUCGUUGUGGGACUGAAUUUUGUACUGUGGGGCAAAAGGGCAGAUAAUAAUAUGGUGGUUGGACAGUCGGAUCAGAUUGGAA